UGAACAUAGGAAGGGGAAAUAGUGAAAGUGUAGCGUUGCAGAAUCAUGGAAAGGGGGAUUUUAGUUUUAGUGAUUGAAAAGCUCAUUCCAACACAAGAUCGAGGUCCCAAUCCAAAGGGUAGAAAUGCAGCUGCAUUGUUGUAGGUAGCUUUGGCAAUCCCUUCAGCAAACCUCUCUGGUUUGAAAAGAUGAACAUCAUCUCCCCAUAAAUCAGGGUCAUGAUGGAGGGCUAUGUAUCGGAUGCUGAGCUCUAAAUUAGUAGGUAGGACAAGUUCUCUUAAUCAGACUUCUCUUUCUACCUUUCUUACCACGCCAUGUACAGGAGGAUAGAGCCGUAAAGUUUCAUUAAUAAUCAUGGUAAUCUGUUUGAGAAAAAAAAUCAAACUAUAAUAAUUUGUAGUUUAAUAUAAAUGGUCAAUGCUAGUUUUCAAGCUUUAGAAUUUGUAUAGUUUGCUUACGAUCUUUAAUUUGGCGAUCCCUUGAGAAUUUGGGUUUUGAUUACCAAAGACCUCAAUCACCUCUGCUCUUGCUUUGUCUUGCCAAUCUGCAUUUAUUGCUAAAAGCAGGAUUGUCCAUGCAAGCAAGGAAUUACUUGUUUUUUGGCCAGCAAAAUAGGAAGAUUUACACUCACCUACCACAUAUUGUAUCGAAAGCCUGAUUUUCUCGUCCGGAUCAUGAUAGGCAUUUAAAAGUAAUCCCAAAAAAUCACGGCCGAAGUUGUCAGCUUCUCUGGUCAUUACUUUCUCUUCCUUUUGUUUAAUAAUCUUCAUCACAGAAUCAUGUAUCAUUUUCGCAAGUUUAUCUGAUUCAAUUUCAUCAGCAGGUUCCCAAAACUUGCUGAAAAGGUAAAAGCAGAUUAAAAUAAAUCCAUAUUUUAAAACCAAUUUUCUAUUUAAUCCCAGGUUGGUUGGACAGUUUUACUAUUUUUUAUUUUAAAAAAAACACUACGUUUUAAACUGGAACGGCAACAAAGAAUUAGUCCUUAAAGAAAGGAUUAGAUGAAGUUACCCGAUGAAUAGAAUCUUUGCUUUAUACAUAUUUCUGCCUGUAAUUGCGGACAACUUCAUCAACAUGUCAAAAAUCUUCUCUCCUUCCAAGUAACUGCUACUAAAGGCUGUUCUGGAUAUCAUUUCUGAAGUCAAUAAUCCGAACUCUUGGAACACUUCCAUCUCUUUGCCUUCCUUACCUUUCCAUUUCUCAAGCAUCGUUUCAACGCUAGCAAUUAUUGCUGGAAUCAUAUUCUGUAAAAACCAUCAUGCAUUAUCAAUGUUCCACUACAAUAAUUAGAUUAGAAACUAGUGAUUUACUUUUAAGCUCUCCCCAUGGAAGGCAUAAUUGGCCAAUUUCCUUUGCCUUGCCCGUUUCUCACUUUCGCUUGUAACAAGGCUGUCACCUUGUAGUUCUGGGUCUGUUAUUACCAGUUGAGCUUGAACUCCAUUCCAACUAAGAUAAUUCUUCCCUAAAAAAUGAUUUAAUUAAAAUCUCUUCAUGGAAAUCCAAAAAUACUACCAAAACAACAUAUUCUCACCGUAUUUCUUGAUGUAGGAGUAAACAUGAGGCAACACUCUGGGAAAUAUAUCGUGCGUCAAGGCCAUAGGUUUGCUAUAUGCUUCCUUCUGCAUUUGAAGAAUUUGUUUGUUGUUUCCAUGGGUAAAUUCAUAAGGAGGUCCUCUGAUCCCCUGUGAACUCAUGAUGAACUGUACACGAUGAGGUACCCACC
rnacentral:lncRNA from 1 species